rnacentral:lncRNA from 1 species
UAGGGUCAUGCAGCACAGACCGAGGCUAUACAGUUUAGGGUCAUGUAGUAUGGACCGAGGCUAGGCAGUUUAGGUUAAUGCCAUAUGGACCGAGGCUGAGCAGUAGAGGGUCAUGCAAUAUGGACCGAGGCGAAGCCGUAGGGUUCGAAAGUAAUCUCCGAGGCUGAGCGGUAAAUGAUCAUGCAGUAUGGACCAAGGCUGAGUAGUUUAGGGUCAUGCUCCAUGGGCUGAGGCAGAGUAGUUUAGGGUCAUGCAGUAUGGACCGAGACAUAGCAGUUGAAGGUCCUACAGUAUGGACCGAGGCGGAGUAAUUUAGGGUCAUGCAGUAUGGACCGAGACUGAGCCGUUUAGGGUCAUGUAGUAUGGACCGAGGCUAAAUAAUUUAUGGUCAUGCAGUAUGGUCCGAGGCUGAGCAGUUGAGGGUCACACAGUAUAUACCGAGGCAGACCAGUUUAGAGUCUUACCAUAUGGACCGUGGCCGUACAUUUUAUGGUCGUGCCACACGGAUCGAGGCUGUGCUGUUUAGGGUUAUGCAACAAAGACUGAGACUAAGGCUGAGUAGUUUAGAGUCAAGCAGUAUGGACCGAGGCUGAUCAGUUUAGGGUAGUGCCGUAUGGACCGAGCUUAAGCAGUUUAGGGUCAUACUGUAUGGUCUGAGGUCGAGUAGUUUAGAGUCAUGCAGUAUGUACCCAAGCUUUGCCGUUUAGGGUCAUGCAGUAGGUACCGAGGAUGUGAGAUUUUCUAAGAGUAUGGACCGAGUCUGAGCAGUUUAGGAUCAUGCAAGAUGGACCGUCGCCGAGCAGUUUAUGGUCAUGCAGUAUGGACCGAGGUUGAGCAGUUUGGGGCAAUGCAGUUUAAGGCUAUGCUGUUUAUGGUCAUGGAGCAUGUACCGAGGCUAUGUUGUUUAGGUUCAUGCAGUAUGGACCAUGGCAACACUGUUUACGGUCCUGCAGUGUUGACCGAGGCCGUAUGGAUUUUGGAGGAGGGAUCAUGCAGGAUGGACCGAUGCUGAGCACUUUAGGGUCAUGCAGUUGGAAUCGAGGCUGAGCAAUUUUGGGUCAUGCUGUUUGGACCGAGGCUGAGAAGUAUAAAGUCAUGCAGUAUGGAUCGAGGCCGAGCAGUUCAGCGUCUUGCCAUAUGGAACGUGGCAAAACAAUAGCAGUUUAAGGUCAUGCAGUAUGGAUUGUGGCUGUGCAGUUUAGGG